AGAGUUUGAUCAUGGCUCAGGAUGAACGCUAGCUACAGGCUUAACACAUGCAAGUCGAGGGGAAACGAUAUUGGAAGCUUGCUUCCGAUAGGCGUCGACCGGCGUACGGGUGAGUAACGCGUAUCCAACCCGCCCACCACUUGGGGAUAACCUUGCGAAAGUAAGACUAAUACCCAAUGAUAUCUCUAGAAGACAUCUGAAAGAGAUUAAAGAUUUAUCGGUGAUGGAUGGGGAUGCGUCUGAUUAGCUUGUUGGCGGGGUAACGGCCCACCAAGGCAACGAUCAGUAGGGGUUCUGAGAGGAAGGUCCCCCACAUUGGAACUGAGACACGGUCCAAACUCCUACGGGAGGCAGAA
rnacentral:rRNA from 1 species